UAGAUUGAAGCCAGUUGUUUAGGGUAUUUAGCUGUUAACUAAAAUUUCGAGGGGUAAUAGCCCUCCAAUCUAG
rnacentral:tRNA from 2 species